CUUUGUGCUGGUAUGCCUGAUGACAAAAGGACAAUAUUAUAUUGAAUAUAGAAAGAUGUAACAAUAUGUUUCAUCAAUAUUCAUUUUUCAUCCAUCUUUUAAUAUUCAGAUGUUACUUUGUUCCUUGCUGUGAACAUGCAUAGCUCAAGAUUUUCUUUAUGUGUAUGAUGGUUAAUGUUGAGUGUCAACUUGAUUGGAUUGAAGAAUACAAAGUAUUUUUCCUGGGUGUGUCUGUGAGGGUGCUGCCAAAGGAGAUUAAUAUUUGAGUCAGUUGACUGGAAAAGGUAGACUCACCCUCAGUCUGGAUGGACACCAUCUAAUCAGCUGCCAGCACGGCUAGAAUAAAGCAGGCAGAAGAAAGUGGAAUGAGGCUUGACGUGCUGAGUCUUCUGGCUUUUAUCUUUCUCCCGUUCUGGAUGCUUCCUGCCCUUGAACAUCAGACUCCAACUUCUUCAGCUUUUGGAAUCUUGGACUUACACCAGUGAUUUGCCAGGGACUCUAAGGCCUUUGGCCACAGACUGAAGGCUCCACUGUCUGCUUCUGUACUUUUGAGGUUUUGAGACUCAGACUGGAUUCCUUGCUCCUCAGCUUGCAGACAGCCUCUUGUGAGACUUCACCUUGUAAUCAUAAGACUCUCUUUUUUGCUGGCUUUGAAGAAGCAUAAUGUCAUCUUGGGGAACCCAAGAAUCUGAGAGAAGUCUCCAACUAAUCAUCAGCUAGGAAUUGGGGUAACCUCUUCCUGGCAACCAGCAAGAAAAUGAGGCCUCCAACCUUACAUCAAAUAAUUGAAUUGUCAUAACUACCAUGUGAGCUUGGAAGUGAAUCCUGCCCCAGUUCUGCCUUGAGAUGAGACUACAUUACCAACCAACACUUCUAUUACAGCCUCAUGAAGCUUUGAAACAGAAGCGCCAACUAAGUUGUAACCAGACUCCUAAUUAACAGAAGCUGUGUGGUAAUAAAUGCAUGCUAUUUUAUGCAAAUAAUUUUGUGGUAACAUUGUUAUGCAACAAUAAAUAAAUAAUGUAAACAAUUUAAGAGUCUAUUCACCAAUUAUCUUCAAUUAUCUUUUCUACUCUGUUUUAUGCAAAGAAUUGGCUAGUAGAUAUCACAGGCUUUGAGGAUGAUAUGUUAUAUCUGGCAACAACUCAACUCUGCUGUUGUUAUGCAGCAGUCAUAGGCAAUACAUACAUAAAUGAGUGUGGCUGUUUUCAAUAUGAGUUUAUUUAGAAAAGCAGGUGAUAAGCUAUAGCUGGUCUUUGAGCCAUGGCUUGCUAAUUCUAGGUCUAAAACUACCAGAUAAAAAACAGAUUCAGAGAUUAAAUAUAAAAACAAAAGCCAGCUCUAUACUUUCUCUGUUAUUAAUAGAGUAAGCAGGUAGAAUAUCAAUAUCAAGUAAGCAGGAUAUCAAGGCUAUGGAUGACCUGGAGACAAACAACAAAUUUGUCCUAAUAAACAUUUAUAUAAUACUUUAUGCAAUAGCAGAACAUACAUUUUUACCCAUGUCAUAGGAAGAAUUAACCUUAGCAAUGUUAAAACCAUAGACUUUAACAAAUUUAAAAACUAGUACAAGUCAUAUAAAAUAUUUUAUUGGUUCAUAACAAAAUUAAACUAGAUACCAGUAACAGAAAUAUAUGUAAAAAUUCCUAAAUAUUUAGAAAUUUAUGAUGCAUUUCUAAGUGAGAUGAACAAAAACUAUUUUAGGCUACGUGAAAACAAGAAUGCAACUUAUCAAAAUUUUAAAUAUUCAUGUUAGAUGAUAAUUUAUAAUAUUAAAUGCAUUUGUUAGAAAAGAAGAAAUAUCUAAAUCAGUAAACUAAACUUUUGGAAAAUGAAAGUAAGAAGAGCAACUUAUAUCUAGAAUAAGCAGAAAGAACAGAAUAAUGAAUAUUAUAGCAGAAAACAAAAAAAUGGAAAGAGAAAACAACAUAGAAAAUAAUUGAAAGCAAAAGCUCAACGAUAGUUCUGUAGCCAGCCUAAGGAAGAAAAAAGAGGGAGAGGAAGAACACAAAUUGCCAAUAUCAGAAAUGAGAGAAAACCAUCACUACUGAUCCCACAGACACUAGAUGAAUAAUCCAGAAAUUUUGUGAAAUCACUAUAAGCUAAAUAAUUCCCAGAGCUCAAAAAUAAUUCCUGGUGUUAACAAGCCAGCAUGGAGCAGUCUCAUUGAACACUGGAGCUAUCCAUAGUAACACCAGAAAGAGGACUGAAAUAUAUGAAGAUUAAAAGCUAUUUUAGACCUGUCCUAAUAAAGCUUAAAACUGGCCUAAAUGUGAUAAAGCUGAUCUGAAAGUAAUUUAAGUGCCUUUCAUUUAAAAAGUAACAUUUUAUCCAGAAAAUCAUAAUGUAAGAUUAAUGAUAGGCAAUAGUCUUUCAAAAAAUAUGAGAUGCAAAGUAACAGAAGAGAAGGACCCACAAGCAAGUGAAAAAUCAGUCAUAAAAUCAGGCCUAAAAAAGAACUGAAUUCAUGGAAUUGGAAGAUAAAGAUGUCAAAAUAUUUUAAAUAAAUUACCUAAAGAGUCACGUAAACUUAGUGAAAAAAGAAAAAAAAAGCCCUUCUAAGGGGGUAAAAUGCAAUUAUCUGAAAUGAAAAAUUUAUUGGCUAUGCUUAAUGCCAGAUUAAAGAACUCCUAAGAAAAGAUCAGAAAAUGAACAGGGUGCAAUUUUACUCUGCUGCUCAGUUUUCCCAGCACCAUUUGUUGAGGAGACCAUUCUUUCCCCAUCCUAUAUUCUUGGCACUCUUGUGGAAAAGCAGUUGAUUGUAUAUACUUGGGUUUAUUUCUGGGUUCUCUAUUCUGUUCUAUUGGUUUAUAUGGGCCCCAUUUUUAUGUCAGUAGCAUACGGUUUUAAUUACUGUAGCACCAUAAUAUAUCUUUAAAUCAGGAAAUUCCAUGCCUCCAGCUUUGUUCCUCUUUCUCAAGAUAACUGGAUAUUUGGAAUCAUUUGUGUUUCCAUGUAAAUUUUAGAAUUGUUUUCCUAUUUGUGUAGAAAUGUCAUUAUUAUUUUGAUAUGGACUGCAUUGAAUUUGUACAACACUUCGGGUUUGGGGCAUUUUAGCAAUAGUAAACUCUCCAAUCCAUGAACACAGGGUGUCUUUCCAUUUAUUUGUGUCUUUUAAAUUUUCUUUUAUCAAUAAUUUAUAGUUUUUAAGGUAUAAGUCCUUCACUUUCUUGGUUAAGUUUGUUUCAAAGUAUUUUAUUCUUUUUGAUGUGAUACUAAAUAAAAUUAUUUUUUAAUUUCUUUUUGAGAUAGUUUGCUGUUAAUGUAUAGAAAGAAAACUGAUUUUUUAUAUUAAUAUUUUUAACCUGCAACUUGGCAGAACUAGUUUAUUAGUUCUAAAAGGGGUGUGUGUGUGUGUGUGUGUGUGUGUGUUUAGUCCGUAGGAUUUUCUGUUUAGAAGACCAAGUCAUCUGCAAGCAGAGAUAAUUGUACUUAUUCCUUUCCAGUUUUGAUGUCAUUUAUCACUUUUUUUCUAAUUGUUUUGGUUGACUUCCAGCACUAAAUUAAAUAGAGGUGGUAAGAAUGGGCAUCACCAUAUCCAAAAUCACCUCAGAAUGGAUUAAAGAAUUAUACAUAAGACCUAACACUGUAAAGAGGUAUCUGUGUAUUCACAUUAAUUGCACUGUUAUUCACAGUAGCCAAGAUAUGGAAAUAACUUAAAUGUCUGUGGACAGAUGGAUGAUUAAUAAAAAUAUGAUAUAUACAGACAAUAGAAUAUUUUCAGACUUUUAAAUGAAGGAAAGCCUGCCAUUUG
rnacentral:lncRNA from 1 species